GGCAAACCACAAAGGAUAAUGCAAUUACCCAAGCUGGUGAGGCAGAGCUGUUACCCAUACCUAGGCCCAGAGAGGAAGGCCAGCAGAGGGAGUGGUUCCUAGACACCCAAGUCAGAGAUCUGUGUGCAAAGAGCCACCUUGGGAGGAGUAUGAGUUGGUUGAUAGGUGCAGCCAGUUUGAGACAAAUCUCCAGGGAGGAGUCAGGAGAAGAAAUACUCCAUUCUGACUCUCCUCCCCCUCUCUAAUUUGCCAAACUGCCUUCUUAGCCAAAUACCACUGGAAGCCAAUGGGUAUCCUGAAGGCUCAUUUUACCUUCCUCUUGAGAUCUGAAUGCUCACCAGGGAAAACAGACUAGCUGAAGAGCUAAGUGAAACUGGAUGCCAAGCCAGUGGGAAUAUAGUUGGAGCUGCAGGCAGCCGUCUUUGCCACCAGCUCCAGGACUUGCCUGGCAAUGAGACCCACAGAAAGGAAGGCAAAGCUGAGAAAUGAAGGUAGAUGGAUUCCUGGCAAAGUUGUUUGAGCAUUUGGACUCAGCCAUGCCUGAAACUAUUGCCCAUACACUUUUCAGUUAUUUGAAACAAUAAAAAUAAAUUCUCUUUUUUUGCUGAAGCCAAUUUGACGUGUUUUUUUUUUUUUUUUUUUUUUUUGCAACCAAACCAAUCUCUCUAAGAAUUUGAAUAUCUAAGAAUUGGGUUUAUUGUUGCAUGUGAGGCUUAUAAGAUCCAAGCAUCAAUGUCCUUUUUCCUUCACCUCACCUCUCUGAGCUUUCAGAAAUUGUCACCUAACCUAGGCCAGAGCCCCAUCACAGACUGAGCACACGACAUUUGUUUCAUGAUGAAGUUGAGAAAAAUGGUUUUGGAGGAAAGUGAAAGGCAAAAAAAAAAAAAAAAAAAAAAAAAAAAAUGCUUGUCACUGAUGUGCAAUGACACAUUAA